rnacentral:rRNA from 1 species
UACGAAGGGGGCUAGCGUUGUUCGGAAUCACUGGGCGUAAAGCGCACGCAGGUGGAUUUCUAAGUCAGGGGUGAAAUCCCGGGGCUCAACCGCGGAAGUGCCUUUGAUACUGUCUAACUUGAGUGCGGGAGAGGCGAGUGGAAUUCCCAGUGUAGAGGUGAAAUGCGUAGAUAUUAGAAAGAACACCAGUGGCGAAGGCGGCCCGCUGGCCCGCUACUGACGCUCAUGUGCGAAAGCGUGGGGAGCAAACAGG